GUGUCAGCAGCCGCGGUAAUACGUAGGGAGCGAGCGUUGUCCGGAUUCAUUGGGCGUAAAGAGCUCGUAGGCGGCUUGGCAAGUCGGGUGUGAAAACUCCAGGCUCAACCUGGAGACGCCACCCGAUACUGCCAUGGCUAGAGUCCGGUAGGGGACCACGGAAUUCCUGGUGUAGCGGUGAAAUGCGCAGAUAUCAGGAAGAACACCCGUGGCGAAGGCGGCUCUCUGGGACGGUACUGACGCUGAGACGCGAAAGCGUGGGGAGCAAACAGGAUUAGAUACCCUGGUAGUCCACGCCGUAAACGAUGGGCACUAGGUGCUUGGGGGAGCGACCCCCUGAGUGCCGGCGCUAACGUGAUGAGUGGACCGCCUGGGGAGUACGGUCGCAAGAUUAAAACUCAAAGGAAUUGACGG
rnacentral:rRNA from 1 species